rnacentral:lncRNA from 1 species
AAUCUUACACUCUUACACACACACACACUUUCUCUCUCUCUCUCUCUCUCUCUCUCUCUCUCUCUCUCUCACACACACACACACACACACACACACAAUCUUUAAAUAUCAUGGAUGUGCUGUAUAUUACACUUUAAGAGACAGAACCAUUGGAAUUACAUGGACUGUAGCCGAUUCUUUUCUAACAGGGCACAGUGGUCUGCAUAUGAUCUCUUGAAUAUUAGCACUGUGCUUACUCUCUUCACAAGUAGCCUAUCAAAUGUGGUAGCUGGAAAUACAUUGUAUCAGAAUCUUUGAAAAAUUAGGAGCGUAUCCUAAACAUGUUAAUUUUGACUUGACAUUACUAUUUUCUGAAAUUAACUGUCUGUGAUUCCUUCCACAUAGUUUAUGAUUUUAUUUGUGUUCAUCUUGAGUUACAGCUUAGGGACUGCAGUCGUUUUCAUUUGUCAGACUGCCGCCAUCAGUGUGCAUGCUUUUAUGCUCUUCAGAAAGGGCACUGGGAUGAAAGUGAGAAAACAAUAAAGUCCUUCUCUCUCAUGUCUGUGUUCUCUAACAUUUCACAACUCAGACUCACCCGCUUUCCAGAUCAAAAGGUUAGUGAUUAGCCCCGGAAAGCUACAAUAUUUUUUAAAUAUUGAGCAAAGUUUAAAAAAAUACAUUGGAAUACCCCAAAUUGUGAAGCGAUGCAGUAGUCAGAUUAUCUAAGCUAAUUUGCCUACUUUUGGGAUGUGACACCUGCCCUCCCAAGGCUUUCCCCAACCCUGGAACCUUUCAGGUUCACUUACCAAGGCUGGACGUGAAAGUGCCAGCCUGGCCAGUUCUUAGAUGCUUCGUGGCUUCCAUAUUUCAUUUCUACUUUUUUCACUUAGAUCAGUGUCAGAUUUUCUUUAAAACUUAUAUCUAUUUUUUUCUUUGUCAUAUUAUAUGCUUUAUCAAUCAAAUGACCUAACUAGGUUAGCUAUUAAAUCUAUAUAUUGAAAUCUGCCAAAAUGUGGGCAUAAAUAAACUGGCUCCUAAUUGUGUACCAGAUCUACAUUUGAAAGGACAGAAAUGUCUCACAAGAUGGUAAGGUCAAAUGUAAAACACUAAACUUUAACCUCAUCAAUUGCUUUUGAAGUGUUGACAUUAAAGACUGAGUGGUUGUGGAAUGUUAACAUAUCCAUGGGCAGGCUAGUGUCUCCUUUUCUUUUUGUCUUAAGACUAAACAUUGGCUGACUUAAAAUAUUACCAGUUCUAUUCCGUUUGCAUUAUAGACAAAAUACGUAACAUUUAAGCAUUGGUGUGAAAAUCAGUACUUUCAUGAAACUAUUAUUUGGAAUAUCCAGAUGCUUUAAUAUUAUGUAGGUAAGGUAUUUGUGUGAUUGACUGAAUUUAAAAUCUUUUAUUCAUACAUCAUGGAUAAUAGCUGGGAGUUGGCGACACAUGACUGCAAUCCAGGCACUCAGAAAACUCAGGAGGAGAGCUCUACAUUCCAAGUCAGCCUGGUCUACGUUCAAGUUUCAGACUAUCCAGGACUCUGUACCAAGACUUCACCCUGCCCACACAACAAAAGAGGUUAAAUAGAGAAUCACUUGGAAUUCAGUUGCAACAUUUUUUGUUACGAUUUCAUUUAAUGGGCUGGAGAGAUGGGUCAGCAGCUAGGAUCAGAGUUUGCUCUUUCAGAGGAUGGAUUUCAUUUCCAGUACCUGUGGGGCAGCAGUAACUGAAGUAACUGUAACUUCAGUUCCAGGGUAUCCAACACCUUCACACAGACACACGCAGGCAAAAGACCAACAUGCAUAAAAUUUAAAUAAAUAAUUAAAAUUAUUUUUAAGUUUUUACUUGACAUAUUUUUAGUUUGUGUAUGCUGAGGUAGAUCUGUUGCUCUUGACAAACUGAGUAAUACAUGGAGUUUAUAAGAGGUCAGAGAUCUCAGUUUCAGAUAAUGUAUUUUGGUUGCUACCCAAACAGAGAAGUUCCUUGGAAGAACCACAUCGCAUAGAAAACUGAUAUCAGCUCAGAUACCCAGUACGUGAUCAGACAGGCCAGUGUUUUACCUGGACUAGUGUUUUGUCGUAUCUGAAUAAAUAAAUAACAGACAUUCUACAAUUUUAUAAGUCCUCAUAUGGAAAAUAAAAUAGGGAAGCCAUUGACAUAAUCUGUUACCCGAAGUGAUCAAGAAAUUAAAUUCCAAAGUAACCAAGAAGUGCUUGGUUACUGCUAUUUCCUAUGUAGCUUCAGAAUAAAUUCCGAUAGUGUUACUGGGUUCACCGGUGCUUUAUAAUCCGGAACAGAGGGAAAAUACGAACCUCAAUUUUUUUUUUUUAUGAGAAUCUGGUGACAAAAAGUUGCAUUGUUUUAUUAAGUGUUUUAUGUGUAUGUGUCUGGUUUGUUGCCAGAAGCUACAUUAUUUCAGAUGUGUGUUUUGUUUGAGACUUGCCGAGUGCUCACUGUUUACCAGCCUGGUUCGCCAUCCAACCUUGGACAACUUUAAAUAAAGUGUGCCCCGGGUUUAUCACCUGCUACAAUGUAAGCCACAGUACAGGCGAACUAAUUCAGGUAAAGCAGCAGAUGCAGAGCAUAGAAAGAAUGUAGCCAGUGCUGACUCAGGUUCUGUCUUCAUAGAUGAUGUUCAGGUCAGAUGAGGGUUUGGAUACAUACAGUCUAGUGAUGGGAUGCCAUCCAGCCCUUUCCUGUUUGACAAGGAGACAAUGGGGUAUGGACGUGGAUAGUCCUGGUUAUGGUUCCGAUUGUAGGUUUUGCUUAAAAUUCAGAUCAAGUGCUGUGGAGAGAUAUGUCUAGAGAAAGAACAUCUCCAUUAUAUGUCUCAUGGCCUCUCAACUGCUGCAUAGAAGCUGGAUUUUCAGGGCUGGGGGCAGGGUCUGAGUACUCUGUGGGAAUGUCUGAGGGGUUCCUCCACACUGUGGUAAACUUUAGACUAAGUACUCUGUGCUGAUGUAACCUUCAGGAGGAUUCAUGUCAGAGCUUCCCUUUACUUCUGUAGUCAAGAGUGUAUUGAAGGAGGAAUGUACUGUGGGAAGGUCGGUGUGGUGACUCCAUGGAGUGUGGGGUCCUAUAUGUAAGGUUGCACUCGGUUCAGCUCUACUUGUCAAAAAUAAUUUGUUCAUUGUUUUCUGAUAUAUACUAGAGUUCAGAAUUGUCAGAAAUGUUCAUUAUUAAACAUUUUUCCUUGUUAACGUAAAA